CCAUGCGUUUUUUUGUUUUCCAAGACAAACUCUCUUCUCUGCCCAGCUUCACUUCAUUACACCUAUCUCUCUCUCUCUCUCCAUGCCAAUAAAGAAAAUUGCCACGGUCAGUUCUCUCUCCCUCUCUCAACGACUUUGCUGCCAUCACCAUGGCCAAACCAAUUGAAUCUUCCUUCUUCUAAUCUUCACCCAAAAAAUCAGAUCUUCCUUCUUCUCAUCUUCACCCAGGCAAUUGCUAUUACUUCUAUUCUCAACUUCCUAUUAAUAAUUCGUUUUGGCGUGUUUCUUCACCUCCACAGGCGCUAUUUACAUCAUUCUUUCGCUUUCAGACUCUAAUAACGAAAAUCUCAAAUUUCUCAAACCCAGAUCACAUCUUCUUCUGUUUUAUUUGACCUUCAGUGAUGAGAUUCAAUUUUUCCAUUGUUAUUGUCGCCGCCAACCUGCAUUGUAAUGAAUUUCGGAAACCAUUUCUCUGGGUCGUGGUGGCCGAUCCAUUUCGCUGACAAUUUGAUUUCGACGGUUGAGACGUGAAGGGCAAGGUUUGCAAUCUUCUAUCAUUCAAUCUACAUCGCUGAACCGAAUCUAAACGCGACUUUUUCUGUUGUCAACGCGUAUCUUGAAUCGUGUGUGGUUAACAAUCUUAAUGGAAAUAGAUCAAAAGGUUCUGUUCCGUUUGAUGUACAGAUUGUGGCUGAAUCUUCAUUUCGUUCGUGGAGGCCAUUUAAGACGAGGGUUUUGAAGGUUUUGUGCAGGAAAAUUGAUGUUUGGAUUUUGUCAAAUUCGACUUUUGGUGAAUUGAUUGAUGGAAAUAGAGAAUGUCAGGUGUGGACUUGAAUUGAAUUGAAUUGAUGGGUUUAGCCAAAUCAUCUAUUUCCAAAAACCAAACUGAUUCGACACUAAACGAAAAUACAUCUCCGUUCCCAGACGAAGUCCUCAAGAACAUGCCUCACAUUCAAGAAGGUGAUUUGUUCAUGAUAGCCAUUUUUGAGUUCAAUACCCAUGUUACAAGACACAUUUGUCAUUCAAAUUACUUGGAACUGAUGCAAUUAGAAUGAAAGUGGAGUAGUAUAUGCUGCCCAUUGAUGGCUGUGUAUAUAUGUUAUUUCUGCGUCAAUUUGAACUUAUGGAUAAUGAAGUUCUUUAGUCAAUUAAUCACAUUGAGUUAAAAUGCAUCAUUUUGUCACAUAAGUUGUAUUAAUUUCGUCUGACAUAUUAAUUUAUCUCAAGAAACGGAUUGAAAAUUCUAUUGACAGAUGAAGAUGGCCAUUGUAUGAAUACUACAUCAAAUGUCAUUUACAAAGAGGUAUUCCGCAAUUUGUAAUGAGUCCUGCUGUCUGACUGCUAUGCUACUUUGUCAAUGAAAUAGUUGCUGAUGUGUUUGUCCAGGUCAAGUUCAGUAUGCAGCAAAAGUUAUUGGCUCUUUGUGUGUCAUUCAGAAUCAAUUAUCUAAGAUGAAUUGGAAACUAAUUGACAGGACUUUUAUGCCACUGUUGUUACAAGACAAAUCCCACAGUUAUGAAAUUGCUAUCUGUUUCAUGGCUUUGAAAAUGUAAUGUGCAUAGAGGCUUCGGAUGUUGAAAGUGUAUGUUUCAUCCGUUAAGAAUUUCAUGUCGGUCGUGGAUCUCAUGAAGUUGUUUUUGGUUUACGUAUUACAUAAUUGGCUGUAUUGGAAGCCUAAUAUAUGACACCAUUAAUCCAUUAUGAUAUGCUUCAAUAUUAACUGCAUCUGUUUAAUAUUACUAUGUGCAUAUCAGAGCAGGUUCAUGUCAAUGUUUUUCAGGAAAAAUCCUUCAACACAUGUAUUCAAAGUCUAUAUAAUGACAUAGUUGAUGCAUUAUGUUAUGCUAAAUUGUGAAAGGCACAUUUUCACCAUUAUUAAGUGCCGUAUUUAGUGUU